GGAGGUGAGGGCCAUCUGGUUGUGACAUUUGUCACCCCAUUGAGUGCCAGGGUUGUUUUGGUUGAUCUGGCUGGCUAGGUGGUCAAACUUCCUCUGUCCCAAAGCUAUGUGCUCAGGUAGAAGAGGCAGCCUUAUCUGAGGAGGAAGACUCUUCAGUGGAGGGUUCAGUAGCUGUACUCUCCUGCUAGAACCUCCAAACAAGUUCUCAUGAAAGAGAACGCAUGUAACACAAGACCUACUGAAGAGCAGAGACUCCCAGGUUUGAUCUGUACAGUGUACACCACAGCCUCU
rfam:Rattus norvegicus chromosome 7, whole genome shotgun sequence.